rnacentral:rRNA from 1 species
CCUACGGGUGACAGCAGUGAGGAAUAUUGGUCAAUGGGCGCGAGCCUGAACCAGCCAAGUAGCGUGAAGGAUGACUGCCCUACGGGUUGUAAACUUCUUUUAUAAAGGAAUAAAGUGAGGCACGUGUGCCUUUUUGUAUGUACUUUAUGAAUAAGGAUCGGCUAACUCCGUGCCAGCAGCCGCGGUAAUACGGAGGAUCCGAGCGUUAUCCGGAUUUAUUGGGUUUAAAGGGAGCGUAGACGGGUUGUUAAGUCAGUUGGGAAAGUUUGCGGCUCAACCGUAACAUUGCAGUUGAAACUGGCAGUCUUGAGUACAGUUGAGGUAUGCGGAAUUCGUGGUGUAGCGGUGAAAUGCUUAGAUAUCACGAAGAACUCCGAUUGCGAAGGCAGCUUACUAAACUGCCACUGACAUUGAUGCACGAAAGUGUGGGUAUCAAACAGGAUUAGAUACCCCAGUAGUC